UGGGGAAUUUUGGACAAUGGGGGCAACCCUGAUCCAGCCAUGCCGCGUGUAUGAAGAAGGCCUUCGGGUUGUAAAGUACUUUUGUUAGGGAAGAAAAGGGAAGUGCUAAUACCACUUUUUGCUGACGGUACCUAAAGAAUAAGCACCGGCUAACUACGUGCCAGCAGCCGCGGUAAUACGUAGGGUGCGAGCGUUAAUCGGAAUUACUGGGCGUAAAGCGAGCGCAGACGGUUACUUAAGCAGGAUGUGAAAUCCCCGGGCUUAACCUGGGAACUGCGUUCUGAACUGGGUAGCUAGAGUAUGUCAGAGGGGGGUAGAAUUCUACGUGUAGCAGUGAAAUGCGUAGAGAUGUGGAGGAAUACCGAUGGCGAAGGCAGCCCCCUGGGAUAAUACUGACGUUCAUGCUCGAAAGCGUGGGUAGCAAACAGGAUUAGAUACCCUGGUAGUCCACGCCCUAAACGAUGUCGAUUAGCUGUUGGGCAACUUGAUUGCUUAGUAGCGUAGCUAACGCGUGAAAUCGACCGCCUGGGGAGUACGGGUCGCAAGAUUA
rnacentral:rRNA from 1 species